rnacentral:rRNA from 1 species
UACGAAGGGGGCUAGCGUUGUUCGGAAUUACUGGGCGUAAAGCGCACGUAGGCGGGUUGUUAAGUCAGGGGUGAAAUCCUGGAGCUCAACUCCAGAACUGCCUUUGAUACUGGCAACCUAGAGACUGGAAGAGGUUAGUGGAAUUCCCAGUAUAGAGGUGAAAUUCGUAGAUAUUGGGAAGAACACCAGGGGCGAAGGCGGCUAACUGGUCCAGCACUGACGCUGAGGUGCGAAAGCGUGGGAGCAAACAGG